AAAAUUUUGGAGCCUGUAAAAGGGAUAUAGAACGCUCUCAAUCUCAUCGAUUCAGCAAAUUCAUUCCUAUUACUUCCCUACAAGCACAACCUGCAACAAUGGUGAUAUCCCAUAUCAUGCCCUCUGAUUUGAAGUCUGUUCGUUGCCCUCAAUCAGUGGUGAAGAAAUGAAGGGAACUCAUGGGGAUUCAUGUGUUCCAGCUUGAUGAAAAGGGGUUGUCCUUUUCAUAUUCCAUCGCCUAUGUCUUUCAAUUAUAUUCUGCUGAUUCUUAUACAUUUACCACUUUCGUCAUGUUUAUUCAUCUUGACAGUCAACGCCUCCAAGGUUCCAUCAUUGUGCAUCGGCUGAACACUUUCAAACAUCUAAGGGAGCUAAUUACGAGAUCAGUGGGUUUGAUGAUGUAAACAAAGCAACCACAGCAAAGCAAAUAUUCCAUUUGUAUGCAAUCCAGCUUGGUCUGAGAACGUAAAAAAGCUGUUUACCACGCACGGAUACUCCCAAAACCAAGCCAUAGCCUUGAAAUAACUCACCAUCUCCAAAGUCGCACAUAACGAUGACAACUCUGACAGCUUACCUGACGGACAAACGUUUGAAAUCG